AUAUUUGCCAAAGAGAGGCUGAACUUCCUAAUUAAAACUAAGUUAGCUAGAACUAGGAGGAGUCUCCAUAAAGUAACCACAAGGACAGUAUAGCCCAACACUUCACUGAGUAGAAGAGCAAACGGGGUUCCAAGAAGAUCAGGCAGUGAUUUCGGAGCAGAGCCGGGAGAACUCAGGUGUCCUCCUACAGGGUCUGGCUCUACUUGCACCGUGACAGCCUCCUCCUUCGCCACAGGUGUAAGGCCUCAUUUUGGUUCUGCUUCAGCCUGAGGUGCUAACAUCUUACUGGUGUGAGCUUGGGGUAUGUUUCUUUCUUUCUACCCUCAGAGGAGACAAAGUCUGUGCUGCCCUCUGGGUGGAGAACCUGAAACUCAGAAAGAUUACAUACUGCUUGUGGUGGUGGCGGUUGUUUUUUCUUACAAGAUCUCACAGCAAGUAGAAAGCCAAGCUGGAGCUCCAGCAGCUACCUUCUUACCAUGGGAAAUCCUUGAAGACGAAAAGCCAUGUGAUAAGGAUGACAGCCUAGAAAGAUAGAUUCAGCGUCUCUGAGAAUGGCAGGCAGCCUUAGCAAUCAUGGAUCGCUUGUGUCUCAACUUAUUUUAUAGGUUUCCAUCUUGUUUAAUCAAUGUCCCCUAAGGUUUCCUUAUUGAAUGCAAUAUGAACUGAUAUACAGCCAUACAUAGAAAACUAAUUAAAUUAAAUAAUUAAAUAAUUCAAAGAGAUAAAAAACUAAAUAAUUCAAAUAAAUUUAUGCACCAAAAAAAAAAAAAAAACGUACAUGGAAGAUUUCAGAAGAAUGCUCUGCUUCAGUUCUCAUUGGAAGAAAUAAACCUAUUCUUUAUGAACAAGACCAAAGACACUUUCCUGGCACUGCCUUGGGAGUUUGGGAUGGUGGGAACCUCAAGGUUAUGUGUUUAUCUGGCAUUUACUGUUUUCAGCGUUUAUUUCUUCUUUGGGAACUUCUUGGAGAAGAAGGGGUGUAAAAGGCAGAAGAAGAGGGUUUAUGUUCUAACCCAAUGCCAUCUUGAUAACUUAUCUUGAGUGAUAGCUACAGUAUUGAGUACCCAUUUGGUAGAAACUCAGAUACAGUGACCUCGCAGAGCGAGGACUAUGGAUCCAUAAUCUUCAUUUCAAAGAUACUCAGAGCCCCGGGAAUUUUAAGUAUAUUGCUCCCGAUCAUAAUGUUAAUAAAUGAUAGGCCUUGAAUUCAAAACCAGAUAUGACUCUGAAAUCUGAGAACCAGUUAUUACAAUAUGUCAUUGAAAGACAAACAACCCUGCCAUUUAUCACAUGACCACUAUAGGCCCUACUGCUCCUAGUAUAUAUUUCUAUACUAUAUACUGCCAUAACUAGUAUAUUACAUAAUUGGUGCAUCAGCACUUUCCAGUGAUUAUUUUUCAAUCCUCACAACAAUGUGAUAGAUAAUAAAAACUGAAGCCACU